GGGGGUGUACCGGAUUCGACUCUGGUCGACGAGAUGGUGGAAGCGAGCCGUGCUCACCGGAUGCACGUCAAACAGCCGGUGCAACAAUAAACGCCGAGCCUGAGCUCGCACUCGCCGCGUAACACCGGCGACGGCGGACGGCUUGCCCGUGCCCGCGGGCUGAUCCCGUCGUCAUCACAGGGCACUUACCGUUUCGCAGCUGUUGGCGCUGCCUAGCGGGACACCUCGCCAACACAACCUCAGGGGACGUGCCAGGUCGUCCCCGAGGAUCUCAACCUGGCUGCGCUCGGAGAAGCACCAUCAAGGAGCCAGAGGACGCGGGUUCGACUCCCGCCACCUCCACUG
rfam:Acidimicrobium ferrooxidans DSM 10331, complete genome.